rnacentral:rRNA from 1 species
ACGGUACCUCCACAAGAAGCCCCGGCCAACUACGUUCCAGCAGCCGCGGUAAUACGUAGGGGGCGAGCGUUGUCCGGAUUUAUUGGGCGUAAAGAGCUCGUAGGCGGUUCAACAAGUCGGUCGUGAAAGUUCAGGGCUCAACCCUGAAAUGCGAUCGAUACUGUUGGACUAGGAUACGGUAGAGGUGAGUGGAAUUCCGAGUGUAGCGGUGAAAUGCGUAGAUAUUCGGAGGAACACCAAUUGCGAAGGCAGCUCACUGGACCGCUAUCGACGCUGAGGAGCGAAAGCUAGGGGAGCAAACAGGAUU